GUGAAACAGCUCGGAGAAGAAGAAGAUGAAGAUGACAUGGAAGAAUCAGAGCAAGAAGAACCCUAACAAAAGACCUAUUUCCCAACUCCAAAACCUCCCAUUCGAUCCUACUGAAGAUUCCACUUUUCCCGAGGAAAAACUUGCUAAAACUGAAGAGAUUUCUCAUGUUAAUGGAGAUGAAGAUACAAUCAAACUUGUUGAGUCCUUUCAACAACAAGGAAAUAAGCUUGCUGAGGAAGGGAAAUAUCGUGAAGCACUUGGAAAGUGGGAGUCUGCUCUACUUUUGAUGCCA
rnacentral:misc_RNA from 1 species